CAAUAGCGUAUAUUAAAGUUGUUGCGGUUAAAAAGCUCGUAGUUGGAUUUCUGCUGAGAACGACCGGUCCGCCCUUUGGGUGUGUAUCUGGCUCUUUCUUGGCAUCUUCUUGGUGAACGUUGCUGCACUUGACUGUGUGGAGCGCUACCCAGGACUUUUACUUUGAGGAAAUUAGAGUGUUUCAAGCAGGCAUACGCCUUGAAUAUAUUAGCAUGGAAUAAUAAUAUAGGAUCUUGGUUCUAUUUUGUUGGUUUCUAGAGCUAAGAUAAUGAUUAAUAGGGACAAUUGGGGGCAUUCGUAUUAACGCGUCAGAGGUGGAAUUCUUGGAUUGCGUUACGACGAACUACUGCGAAAGCAUUUGCCAAGGAUGUUUUCAUUGA
rnacentral:rRNA from 1 species